UGGGACAGGACAUCGCCCUUACCAUCUUACCUUAACCAUUCUCCAUGUCCUGCUGCAGGUCCAGCUCCCUGAGGCCCUGCACCAGCUCUUCCACUCCUUGAAGGAGCUGCUGCUGCUUUUCUACCAUAGUGUGCUGCUGCCCAUGUGGCACUUACUGCUUGCAGCCCUGGCCCAAGUCCAGGAGCAUUGCCACGAGGCCUGCAGGUAAACUCACCCUAGGCUCUACAGGGCCCCACUUCUGUCCCUGGGAACAAGGCUGCACCAUUCAUUUUGUCACAGUCAGUUACUCUGGAAUUAUGGGUUUAAGCUGUAGCCCCUAACAUAAUCCCACACAUGAUCCCCAGCCCUCUCAGUUGUUCUGCUUUUCUCCUAGAGGGGAAAUGACCUGGGACUGCAUUAAGACACAGUUCAGCACAGCUGCCCAUUGGACCUGGCUCUGCCUGCAGGAUGUCACAGUGGCUUUCUUGGACUGGGCACUCACCAUGAUAUCCCAGCAAUAGACCCUGCCUGGCUGGCCACUGGUUUCUGUGGUGGGCUAGCUACUGGAGAGUGCUGGGGGUUAG
rnacentral:lncRNA from 1 species